rnacentral:rRNA from 1 species
AGUGAACGCUGGCGGUAGGCCUAACACAUGCAAGUCGAACGGCAGCACAGUAAGAGCUCGCUCUUACGGGUGGCGAGUGGCGGAUGGGUGAGGCAUACAUAGGAAUCUACUUUUUCGUGGGUGAUAACGUAGGGAAACUUAUGCUAAUACCGCAUACGACCUACGGGUGAAAGCAGGGGAUCUUCGGACCUUGCGCGAUUGAAUGAGCCGAUGUCGGAUUAGCUAGUUGGCGGGGUAAAGGCCCACCAAGGCGACGAUCCGUCGCUGGUCUGAGAGGAUGGUCAGCCACACUGGAACUGAGACACGGUCCAGACUCCUACGGGAGGCAGCAGUGGGGAAUAUUGGACAAAGGGCGCAAACCUGAUCCAGCCAUACCGCGUGGGUGAAGAAGGCCUUCGGGUUGUAAAGCCCGUUUGUUGGGAAAGAAAAGCAGCAGGUUAAUACCCCGCUGUUCUGACGGUACCCAAAGAGUAAGCACCGGCUAACUUCGUG